rnacentral:lncRNA from 1 species
GAACUUUAAAAUUCUUACACUCUGACGUGGCCUUGUCCUUUAAGACCGUGGGUUUCAAAGUGCGGUACAGGGGGAACGUAUCUUGAAUUCCUACCCUCGACCUACUGGACCUACUGAGUCGGACUCUCUGUAGUGGGGCCCAGGACUGACUCUUUGACCUUUUUCGUUGUGUUGAGAAAUCCUGCUUUAAGGCUACUUUCAACUGUAUCCGGAAUGGGAGUUCUCGGGGUAGAAACUCGGCUCUUAUCUGUGAACCGAGCCUGAACUAGAGCUGAGAGAUUUCAGCUGUUCCGUGGGAGAGCACAGAGCGUGCGCGAGCCCUUGCGUCGCGGUGGCUGGAGCGCGAGCCUUUGGCUGGAGAGUCUGAGAGGAUGUGUUUGUCUCUGGCUCCCUGGGACCUCUAGUCACGGUGCCUCCUCUUCUCUGAGCACAAUUCUUCUGGGACCUUCUUCUCCUC